rnacentral:rRNA from 1 species
UCAUGUAUCACUGUAGGGGGUAGAGCACUGUUUCGGCUAGGGGGUCAUCCCGACUUACCAAACCGAUGCAAACUCCGAAUACCUACAAGUGCCGAGCAUGGGAGACACACGGCGGGUGCUAACGUCCGUCGUGAAAAGGGAAACAACCCAGACCGUCAGCUAAGGUCCCAAAGUUAUGGUUAAGUGGGAAACGAUGUGGGAAGGCUUAGACAGCUAGGAGGUUGGCUUAGAAGCAGCCACCCUUUAAAGAAAGCGUAAUAGCUCACUAGUCGAGUCGGCCUGCGCGGAAGAUGUAACGGGGCUCAAACCAUACACCGAAGCUACGGGUAUCACCUUCGGGUGAUGCGGUAGAGGAGCGUUCUGUAAGCCUGUGAAGGUGAGUUGAGAAGCUUGCUGGAGGUAUCAGAAGUGCGAAUGCUGACAUGAGAACGAUAAAGGGUGUGAAAAACACCCACGCCGAAAGACCAAGGUUUCCUGCGCAACGUUAAUCGACGCAGGGUUAGUCGGUCCCUAAGGCGAGGCUGAAAAGCGUAGUCGAUGGAAAACAGGUUAAUAUUCCUGUACUUCUGGUUAUUGCGAUGGAGGGACGGAGAAGGCUAGGCCAGCUUGGCGUUGGUUGUCCAAGUUUAAGGUGGUAGGCUGGAAUCUUAGGUAAAUCCGGGAUUCUAAGGCCGAGAGCUGAUGACGAGUUAACUUUUAGUUAACGAAGUGGUUGAUGCCAUGCUUCCAAGAAAAGCUUCUAAGCUUCAGGUAACCAGGAACCGUACCCCAACGACACAGGUGGUUGGGUAGAGAAUACCAAGGCGCUUGAGAGAACUCGGGUGAAGGAACUAGGCAAAAUGGCACCGUAACUUCGGGAGAAGGUGCGCCGGUGAGGGUGAAGGACUUGCUCCGUAAGCUCAUGCCGGUCGAAGAUACCAGGCCGCUGCGACUGUUUAUUAAAAACACAGCACUCUGCAAACACGAAAGUGGACGUAUAGGGUGUGACGCCUGCCCGGUGCCGGAAGGUUAAUUGAUGGGGUUAGCUAACGCGAAGCUCUUGAUCGAAGCCCCGGUAAACGGCGGCCGUAACUAUAACGGUCCUAAGGUAGCGGAAUUCCUUGUCGGGUAAGUUCCGACCUGCACGAAUGGCGUAACGAUGGCGGCGCUGUCUCCACCCGAGACUCAGUGAAAUUGAAAUCGCUGUGAAGAUGCAGUGUAUCCGCGGCUAGACGGAAAGACCCCGUGAACCUUUACUAUAGCUUUGCACUGGACUUUGAAUUUGCUUGUGUAGGAUAGGUGGGAGGCUUUGAAGCGUGGACGCCAGUUCGCGUGGAGCCAACCUUGAAAUACCACCCUGGCAACUUUGAGGUUCUAACUCAGGUCCGUUAUCCGGAUUGAGGACAGUGUAUGGUGGGUAGUUUGACUGGGGCGGUCUCCUCCUAAAGAGUAACGGAGGAGUACGAAGGUGCGCUCAGACCGGUCGGAAAUCGGUCGUAGAGUAUAAAGGCAAAAGCGCGCUUGACUGCGAGACAGACACGUCGAGCAGGUACGAAAGUAGGUCUUAGUGGUCCGGUGGUUCUGUAUGGAAGGGCCAUCGCUCAACGGAUAAAAGGUACUCCGGGGAUAACAGGCUGAUACCGCCCAAGAGUUCAUAUCGACGGCGGUGUUUGGCACCUCGAUGUCGGCUCAUCACAUCCUGGGGCUGAAGCCGGUCCCAAGGGUAUGGCUGUUCGCCAUUUAAAGUGGUACGCGAGCUGGGUUUAGAACGUCGUGAGACAGUUCGGUCCCUAUCUGCCGUGGACGUUUGAGAUUUGAGAGGGGCUGCUCCUAGUACGAGAGGACCGGAGUGGACGAACCUCUGGUGUUCCGGUUGUCACGCCAGUGGCAUUGCCGGGUAGCUAUGUUCGGAAUAGAUAACCGCUGAAAGCAUCUAAGCGGGAAACUAGCCUCAAGAUGAGAUCUCACUGGAACCUUGAGUUCCCUGAAGGGCCGUCGAAGACUACGACGUUGAUAGGUUGGGUGUGUAAGCGCUGUGAGGCGUUGAGCUAACCAAUACUAAUUGCCCGUGAGGCUUGACCAU